rnacentral:lncRNA from 1 species
UCAGUUUGAAACUGGGUUCUAUCUUGCUUCUUGAAAAUAUUCAUCUAAACAGGAACUUAAGGAUAUUAUGUUUUUCUUGUACAAUAUUGUCAAGCUAGUGCCAAGGAUAAAUUUCUGUAAAAGAUUUUUUAAAAAUUCACUUGAUAAUAGACUGGAUUGGAAAAAUGUGGCACAUAUACACCAUGGAAUAUUAUGCAGCAAUCAGAAAUGAUGAGUUUGUGUCGUUUGUAGGAACAUGGAUGAAUCUGGAGAACGUCAUCCUCAGCAAACUGACACAAGAACAGAAAAUGAAACACCGCAUAUUCUCACUCAUAGGCGGGUGAUGAAAAAUGAGAACACAUGGACACAGAAAGGUGCUCCCAGCCUGGGUCCCCAGCCACCCACCAACAGGAUUAUUGGGGCAGUAGCAGCUCUGCAACUCCUUGUGACAGAACUCCAAGUGGAAAUGGUCUGCCUCAAGUGAACUGUGCCUGUACCCUGGAAGUGGAAGCACUAGCUCUUUCUUUCUCCAACAUCAACUUCCUCAGCAUUCUGCAAUGCCUGCAGCCGGAGUGAAGUCUUCCAUGACACAAGAUUUUUCUAAAUCACUUCCUGAUCGGAAAUGCUGCUUACAUUGUCCCAGGAUACCCAUUCUUGUCCAUGACGUAUUAUAUUUGAAUAUAACACUGAUGGAUUUAGUUUGCUGAUAUUUUUAUUACAGAUUUUACAUUCUUGUUCAUAAGGGAGACAGGACUAUAAUUUUUUCUUUCUUUAUAUUAACAUCUUUACCUUGUUUUGCAGUUAGGUUUCUACUAGCUUGUAUGUAUUAUGGAAACUGUCACUUUUAUUUUUAAUUCUCUGAUAAUUUUUUCGUGAAAAUUAAAUAAUCUAUUUCUUGAGAAGUUAUUAAAAAUGCUCUCAAUUUUCUUCCUUUCUUUUUUUUUUUUUGAGACGGAGUUUUGCUCUUGUUACCCAGGCUGGAGUGCAAUGGCUCAAUCUCGGCUCAACGCAACCUCUGCCUCCUGGGUUCAGGCAAUUCUUUUGCCUCAGCCUCCUGAGUAGCUGGGAUUACAGGCACACACCACCAUGCCCAGCUAAUUUUUUGCAUUUUUAGUAGCGACGGGGUUUCACCAUGUUGACCAGGAUGGUCUCAAUCUCUUGACCUCGUGAGCCACCCACCUCGGCCUCCCAAAGUGCUGGGAUUACAGGCGUGAGCCACCGCGCCCGGCCCUCAAUCUUUCAUUUUUAAACCUGGAAAAAAUUUAACUACUUCUUGUUUACAAUGAUCAUAGAAUAAUGCACGAUUUUUCUUUUCCAAAUUUCUUUUUAGUAAGUUUUGACAAGUUACUCAUUGUAUAAAUUUUUCUUUUCCCAACAAAUACUGUUUUUUUGUGCUUUUUCUUAUUUUUAUAUUGAUUUUUCCAGCUAUUUACGAAUUUUAUCAGCUUAUUUUAAAAAGGUAUUGCUUUUGGCAGUUUCUCCAGAAUACUUCUAUAUUCGAUUUAGUUUCUAUUCUCAUAUUUACUAGUUUCCUUUUGAAAAAUUUUAGGGAAUUUUUACAACAUCUUAAGUUUUGGGUUGAACUAUUGACUCCACCUCUUUUUAAGGUUAAAAUUUUCUAAUUACUACUUUGGUUUCUGUCAUCUCAAGUAAAUAUGUAAUGUUUUAUAAUUGUUCAACUGUAAAGAAUGUUUCAAAUUUUUAUACUUUUGAUGUUUGACUUACUUAGAAUUCUUUUUAAUUUCCAAAUUAAUGUGAGUUUUAAAAACUGUGAUUUGAUUAACUUAACAUAUAUGCUAGUGUUUCCAAGCUUCCUAUUCAUAGUUCCCUAAUCUUUCCCUUAUUUUGGUUUGUAUAUAUUUCAGUUUUUCACUAAAUUCACUUGUAGUAUCUGCUCACUUAGAAAUUAUUCAACCUAUUACUGGGUGAAUAAUAAUUCUAGUUACUCCCCUGUUGACUUACAUAAUAUUUUAUAUUUGUUUUCUCUCUUUCUAACCCAAUGAUUUAUUAUUUUUACCAUUUCAUAUGGUAUUUGCUUAUAUUUACCUAUGAAAUUGCUGUUUUUUGGAUAAAUGCAUUUUCUUAUACUGCAGGGUUUGAAAAAUUAUUAUUAUUAUUGUUGUUUUUGAGACAGAGCUCUGUCACCUAGAUUGUACCACUGGAGUGCAAUGGUACAAUCUCAGAUCACUGCAACAUUCGCCUCCCAGAUUUAGGCAAUUCUUCUGCCCCAGCCUCCUGAAUAGUUGGGAUUACAGGCCCCCCUCUGUGUAAUUUUUGUAUUUUUAGUAGAGACAGGAUUUCACCAUAUUUGCAAGGCUGCUCUUGAAUAACUGACCUCAGGUGAUUUGCCUGCUUCAGCCUACCAAAGUGCUGGGAUUACAGGUGUGAGCCCCCACGCCUGGUCAACACCAUGGGGAGAAAUGCCAGAUACAGUAUGAACCUAAAGUUAAAUAAAUUUUAAAAAAUGAGAUAAAAUAAUAAAUAAAAGUAAGGUAAAAUUGGAGAUUGUUCAGUAAUGGAAGAGUGACUAGCAAUGACCUCGGCCUCAUCACAAAGCUUAUUUUCCCCAGAGAGACAGUGACUGCCUGAUUUGUGUUUCUGAGCAAUACUAGUGGUUAAAAAUCUUUUCCAAGGCAUUCUGUUAUCUCGCACUUUGUUUUAGAUGU